GUCAAGGGCAAGGAAAGGCAGCUGAUGCAGACUGUGUGGUGCCACCACCCACACACCUGUUCACUCUGCAGAAAGUGUUACUGGCCUCAGGUGCGGUGCCUUUCCCUGGAAGAGUCCUCAGAGUGCACAAAUCUCAUCCCCACUCACCAGGCCUAAGGUCCAAUCUCAGACAUUGCAUAUAGGCCAUGAAGACAGCCAACAAGGAGGGAGAAAGCCAGCCAGGGCUAAUGAGACAAAGUAGGUGAACGGAUUUUGUGCAGGGAUUCUCAGAAAACUGGACCCCUUGAAACUGCUGUAGCAUUUCCCCUAAGGAUCUCAACGAACGUUGCAAACAGGACUGGAUGACAUUCCACGUGAGACUCCCUCAGCAAUAGAUGUCAGAGCCAAGCCUGUAUCUGUGUCUCUAUUCCCAACCUCAAAAUGCUGCUGUUAACAUCUGGAAGAAAAAUCCAUUCAAAGAAUGCAGUUUUGGACUUUUGGGGGGAGUCGGACAGCCUGCAUGCAAAAUAUUUAGUUACAAAUUCUGUGAAGCGCACUGAUCUUUAACAGCAUUUUCUGCUUUUACAAAGAUUUUCCUGUUACUUUGUUCCGGUCGCAAAAUUUAAAAAAAAAACCAAAAACUUAAACUUGGGAGAGAUAAGGUCUGGAAAACAAUCUGGAAUUGCCAGUCUGUUGGUGGGAGCUCUGCAGGGCUGGCGUCAGGAAGUCUGCGCCGCCUUCUAUUACUGUUGAUCCAGCUUUGUGCAGCUGCACUUAGUACAAUUAGCUUGUAGAAACAAUCCUGCUGUAGGCAGCCUCUUCCCUUCAAAGUGCUUUUCUAUACUGAUCCCCUCACAUCAUGAUGCUGGAAAUCAAGUCACAAGCUGACCACUGUUUGGCCAACAUCAUCUGUGGGAAUUCAUUAACCUCCAUCUCAGCGAUGCAACAAGAGAUUGUUUGUCCAGAACCAAAUUUACAGCUUAAUAUUAUGAUGUAGCCCAUACAGGAAAAAACCUGUGUCCCAUUUUUUGUUGUUGGCUAUAACAAGAAACACAUUGUGCUUACAGAGUGGGGAAUGUAGCUGAAACCAAGCAUAAGCCGGCUCCUGCUAAAACUUUGCCAUCGAAGUGAUUGUUUUUUGGUUAAUCAGCCUGCAGUUUCCAUAGAAGCAACUUAUCCCCUCAAUCAUUUUGCUGGGUGCACUUUGCAAGCUCAUUUCCCGUCUGAGUUUGCUCUGCUACUCUCAGAUGCUGCUGCUGACACAUUUCCUCCCCUUGCACUUUGCACCCACCUUAUCCCUGCCCGAGAUGCUCAGGGCUGAUUGUGUCUAGAGGGGGGCGUUCAACGCAAACUGCAACUGCUGUGGGGGUUGGGAUUGGCCCCCACCCCCCACACAUACUUUCCGCUGCUUGAUCAGAUCUAGGCCAUGCAAUCACUGAACAGCAAACAGCCCCCCGCCCCCGUCUCCUUCCUAUCCAUCGCCUCAGUCCCAGAUUGCAGGGACACCAACUGCUGCUCCUGCAAGCUCUUUGCCACGCGCCUGUCGUGUGCUGCUAUGUGUAAACCUCACUGGUGGCUCACGCGACUCCACUUCCAGCAGCGGCCCCAGGAGGGGAGAGAGCAGGGGCGGAGAGUAACAGCAGGGAGGUGGGUGUGGGGAGCUGGCUACAGAGCAUGGUGGAAUAGCUGCAGUUGUGGGUUGAAUCAGCAGGAGGAGGAGGCUGCUGCAUGGGGAGGGCCAGCAACAGACUGCAAAGAUCCCCUUCAUCCAUUUCUCCAGCCACUGUCUUGACAAGGGAUCCAUCAAUCACCCCAGUGCCCUGAGGACGUUUGCGCCUAAACUCUGGCCUGGCCCCAAACACCCUGCACAUCCCGGGGACAUUCGGGACUAAAAUCCCCAGCCCUAAUGUCCUCACGCACUCCCAGGGAUGUUCGUGAUCAAACACCCCAUUUCCAACGCUCCUAUCUGCCCCCUGGGGACAUUCAUGAUUAACUCUCCUUUUCCCAAUGUCCCCACAUCCCCUGGGGAAUGUUCAUGAUUGAACAGCCCCACGUGCAGUGGGGAUGUUGGUGCCUGAAUCCCAGUUCCCAAUGCCCCUGUACAUCCCCAGGAAUGUUUGUGCUCAAAUCCUAGUUCCCAACACCCCUGUAUACCCUCAGGAAUUUUCAUGCUUAAACCCUGGGUCCCAGCACCCUAAGGGACAUUUGUGCCUGAUCCGUGGUUCCCACCAUCCCUGUGAACCCCCGAGGAUGUUCAGGCUUGAACCCUGGUUGCCAUUGCCUCCAGAGAUGUUUGUGCCUGAACGCCACUUCCAACCCUCUUCCCUGUGCAACCUGGAACCUCAGUUGCAACCUGUCCCCAUCCUCACUCACUCCAGGGACAUUUGAAUCCAAACCCCAGACCUAUGUGCCUGGGGACGGGCUUCUUUAACAUAGAA